rnacentral:rRNA from 1 species
AUUGAACGCUGGCGGCAUGCUUUACACAUGCAAGUCGAACGGUAACAGGCCGCAAGGUGCUGACGAGUGGCGAACGGGUGAGUAAUGUAUCGGAACGUGCCCAGUCGUGGGGGAUAACGCAGCGAAAGCUGCGCUAAUACCGCAUACGAUCUAUGGAUGAAAGCGGGGGACCGUAAGGCCUCGCGCGAUUGGAGCGGCCGAUAUCAGAUUAGGUAGUUGGUGGGGGUAAAGGCUCACCAAGCCAACGAUCUGUAGCUGGUCUGAGAGGACGACCAGCCACACUGGGACUGAGACACGGCCCAGACUCCUACGGGAGGCAGCAGUGGGGAAUUUUGGACAAUGGGCGCAAGCCUGAUCCAGCAAUGCCGCGUGCAGGAAGAAGGCCUUC